AUUCCUGAAGCGUUGUAGGCGAGAUUGAAAAAAUCAAAUCAAUUAAACAAAAUGGUCUCAAAUUACCAUUUCUUAAAAUGUUUAUAUUUUAUGCCCUUCUUUUCACGUACGGGGUUUAGUCAAGAAAUAUGCGAUAGUAACACAGGACCAGUGUGCUGCGAUGGCUAUUACAGAAAUCAAAUCACAGGAAACUGUACCAGUUGCAAACCAGGAUAUUUUGAUUUUAAUUGUUCUAAAAAGUGUGGAUAUCCUACAUACGGUGAAAAAUGUCAGCAAAUAUGCAGCUGUAGUGAAAAGAAAUGUCAUUUCGCUAUUGGAUGUCGACUAAACACAGAAAAGUCUGGCAAGU